rnacentral:rRNA from 1 species
GGUUAAGCGACUAAGCGUACACGGUGGAUGCCCUGGCAGUCAGAGGCGAUGAAGGACGUGCUAAUCUGCGAAAAGCGUCGGUAAGGUGAUAUGAACCGUUAUAACCGGCGAUGUCCGAAUGGGGAAACCCAGUGCAAUUCGUUGCACUAUCGUUAACUGAAUACAUAGGUUAACGAGGCGAACCGGGGGAACUGAAACAUCUAAGUACCCCGAGGAAAAGAAAUCAACCGAGAUUCCCCCAGUAGCGGCGAGCGAACGGGGAGCAGCCCAGAGUCUGAAUCAGCUUGUGUGUUAGUGGAACGGUCUGGAAAGUCCGACGGUACAGGGUGAUAGUCCCGUACACCAAAAUGCACAGGCUGUGAACUCGAAGAGUAGGGCGGGACACGUGGUAUCCUGUCUGAAUAUGGGGGGACCAUCCUCCAAGGCUAAAUACUCCUGACUGACCGAUAGUGAACCAGUACCGUGAGGGAAAGGCGAAAAGAACCCCGGCGAGGGGAGUGAAAAAGAACCUGAAACCGUGUACGUACAAGCAGUGGGAGCACCUUCGGGUGUGACUGCGUACCUUUUGUAUAAUGGGUCAGCGACUUAUAUUCUGUAGCAAGGUUAACCGUAUAGGGGAGCCGCAGGGAAACCGAGUCUUAACUGGGCGUUAAGUUGCAGGGUAUAGACCCGAAACCCGGUGAUCUAGCCAUGGGCAGGUUGAAGGUUGGGUAACACUAACUGGAGGACCGAACCGACUAAUGUUGAAAAAUUAGCGGAUGACUUGUGGCUGGGGGUGAAAGGCCAAUCAAACCGGGAGAUAGCUGGUUCUCCCCGAAAGCUAUUUAGGUAGCGCCUCGUGAACUCAUCUUCGGGGGUAGAGCACUGUUUCGGCUAGGGGGUCAUCCCGACUUACCAACCCGAUGCAAACUACGAAUACCGAAGAAUGUUAUCACGGGAGACACACGGCGGGUGCUAACGUCCGUCGUGAAGAGGGAAACAACCCAGACCGCCAGCUAAGGUCCCAAAGUCAUGGUUAAGUGGGAAACGAUGUGGGAAGGCACAGACAGCCAGGAUGUUGGCUUAGAAGCAGCCAUCAUUUAAAGAAAGCGUAAUAGCUCACUGGUCGAGUCGGCCUGCGCGGAAGAUGUAACGGGGCUAAACCAUGCACCGAAGCUGCGGCAGCGACACUAUGUGUUGUUGGGUAGGGGAGCGUUCUGUAAGCCUGCGAAGGUGUGCUGUGAGGCAUGCUGGAGGUAUCAGAAGUGCGAAUGCUGACAUAAGUAACGAUAAAGCGGGUGAAAAGCCCGCUCGCCGGAAGACCAAGGGUUCCUGUCCAACGUUAAUCGGGGCAGGGUGAGUCGACCCCUAAGGCGAGGCCGAAAGGCGUAGUCGAUGGGAAACAGGUUAAUAUUCCUGUACUUGGUGUUACUGCGAAGGGGGGACGGAGAAGGCUAUGUUAGCCGGGCGACGGUUGUCCCGGUUUAAGCAUGUAGGCUGGUUAUCCAGGCAAAUCCGGAUAAUCAAGGCUGAGGUGUGAUGACGAGGCACUACGGUGCUGAAGUAACAAAUGCCCUGCUUCCAGGAAAAGCCUCUAAGCAUCAGGUAACAUAAAUCGUACCCCAAACCGACACAGGUGGUCAGGUAGAGAAUACCAAGGCGCUUGAGAGAACUCGGGUGAAGGAACUAGGCAAAAUGGUGCCGUAACUUCGGGAGAAGGCACGCUGGUGUGUAGGUGAAGUCCCUGCGGAUGGAGCUGAGACCAGUCGAAGAUACCAGCUGGCUGCAACUGUUUAUUAAAAACACAGCACUGUGCAAACACGAAAGUGGACGUAUACGGUGUGACGCCUGCCCGGUGCCGGAAGGUUAAUUGAUGGGGUUAUCCGUAAGGAGAAGCUCUUGAUCGAAGCCCCGGUAAACGGCGGCCGUAACUAUAACGGUCCUAAGGUAGCGAAAUUCCUUGUCGGGUAAGUUCCGACCUGCACGAAUGGCGUAAUGAUGGCCAGGCUGUCUCCACCCGAGACUCAGUGAAAUUGAACUCGCUGUGAAGAUGCAGUGUACCCGCGGCAAGACGGAAAGACCCCGUGAACCUUUACUAUAGCUUGACACUGAACAUUGAGCCUUGAUGUGUAGGAUAGGUGGGAGGCUUUGAAGCGUGGACGCCAGUCUGCGUGGAGCCAACCUUGAAAUACCACCCUUUAAUGUUUGAUGUUCUAACGUUGGCCCCUUACCGGGGUUGCGGACAGUGUCUGGUGGGUAGUUUGACUGGGGCGGUCUCCUCCCAAAGCGUAACGGAGGAGCACGAAGGUUAGCUAAUCCUGGUCGGACAUCAGGAGGUUAGUGCAAUGGCAUAAGCUAGCUUGACUGCGAGCGUGACGGCGCGAGCAGGUGCGAAAGCAGGUCAUAGUGAUCCGGUGGUUCUGAAUGGAAGGGCCAUCGCUCAACGGAUAAAAGGUACUCCGGGGAUAACAGGCUGAUACCGCCCAAGAGUUCAUAUCGACGGCGGUGUUUGGCACCUCGAUGUCGGCUCAUCACAUCCUGGGGCUGAAGUAGGUCCCAAGGGUAUGGCUGUUCGCCAUUUAAAGUGGUACGCGAGCUGGGUUUAGAACGUCGUGAGACAGUUCGGUCCCUAUCUGCCGUGGGCGCUGGAGAAUUGAGGGGGGCUGCUCCUAGUACGAGAGGACCGGAGUGGACGCAUCACUGGUGUUCGGGUUGUCAUGCCAAUGGCACUGCCCGGUAGCUAAAUGCGGAAGAGAUAAGUGCUGAAAGCAUCUAAGCACGAAACUUGCCCCGAGAUGAGUUCUCCCUGAGACUUUAAGUCUCCUGAAGGAACGUUAAAGACGAUGACGUUGAUAGGCCGGGUGUGUAAGCGCAGCGAUGCGUUGAGCUAACCGGUACUAAUGAACCGUGAGGCUUAACCUU